CACUCCCCUGUCAGUGAGGAGAGAUGUGAUUGGCAAGCGGCUCCGUCACUGGAGCCGCUGUCAAUCAUCACAGGGUGGAUGAGGAGGCGGUGCGGGCAUAGUGGCGGUCAGGCCGAACAGUGUCACCUCACCUCACUGUGUAAUCAGUUAAUGGAGUGCGCUGUGGCCAGCGGCAGCUGUUGGGAGGGACGCUCAGUACAUCAGAGACCCCCGGCUGCGACCCCCCCCCCCCGUGCGGCCGCGACCACCCACACCACUGUGCGCUGGUCAUGCCGCGCGACCACCCACACCACUGCGCUGGUCAUGCCGGCUCAGUGGAAGGCUGUCUCACUAGCCUUGGCUUCCCUGCACCGCAAAUAUAGUGUGAUGUCAGGACGUGUGACAUCACUGGAGCGCCACCCCGGCACCCAUGCGUCCCGAACUGAAGGAAGCCACACAGAACAGUGGCAGCAGCACCUGAGGUGAGGAGAGUCCUGCUGGCUGCUGAUCCACUGCGAUGAUAUGGUACUAUGAUUCACAUGGCUCCUCACACAUCGAUAUAUAUAUAUAUAUAUAUAUAUAUAUAUAUAUAUAUAUAUAUAUAUAUAUAUAUAUAUAUAUAUAUAUAUAUAUAUACUAGCUCACAGCCACCCACCGAUCACCACCUUCAGCCGCCCACCACCCGCUGCUCACCGCCGUCAACCACCCACCACUCACCGCCGCCCGCCGCUCACCGCCUCCAGCCACCCACCGCCAUCUGCAACAAAUGGCAGUCACCGUCAGCGGGACCUCACCGCCGCUGCCCAUGGGUGCCUCCGGUGACCACAGUCAGUGGUCAAGAUCUGUGCCCAGCAAACCUUGGUCUAUUCAAUAGUUCUACUGGUUUAGUGAAGGAAUUUAAUGUGAACGCAAGAUUCAUUUUUGGACCUCCUGGCGCAGAUUCACGUGACCUCACUGUUUCCGGUGACGUCAGGGUCCUGAACCCGGAAGGAGAUGCGGGCCGGCGGCGGGCGAGGUACGGGCGGCAUGGAAACAAGACAAAUAAAAUGAUGGAGAAGCAUUGUAAGAAAUAUACAACAAAACAUUACAUAAAUCCUGUGUCUUAACAGAUGAUAUGUAUAUAUUGAAGUGUCUUGUCCUUAUGUUGCAUUAUGGAAUUAUUAGUAUUUUUUUAUUAGUGUUGCAUUAUGGAAUUAUCAGUAUUUUUCACCUGUCGUUUGCCAGGUUGCCAGUCACUACCUUUUGUGGCCUUUGUCCCCUAUAGUCACAUCUCUCUGCCUCCCUCCAACCUCCCUCAGACGCGGCAGUCUCAGACCCUGGCUGCUGACAUCGCUCAUUAUCUCCAGUCCUGGCUGCAGA